UUAGGGGGUAGGGCAAUUUGGAAUAAUUUUGGACCAAUUUAAAGAGAUUGUGAUGGACAACGACUAUGAGGUGGUGUAUAGGAGACAUUGGUGCAUCGUUUAAGAAAAUCUCUAGAGUGGUUUAUGUUCGAAAAUCUGAAGUUAUGGUAAAAAAACUGUAAUUGUGAAAUUGACAAAAUGAGACUAGGGGGUAGGGCACUAAAAGAAAAUUUUGGACCAUUUUAAAGAGAUUGUGACGGACACCGACGACUAAAUAUGUGUUGUAGAGCAGACAGUAGCGCAUCGUUUAGGAAAAUCUGCAGAGUGGUUUAUGUUCGAAAAUCUGAAGUUACGGUUAAAAAACUGAAAUUGUGAAAUUGACAAAAUAAGGUUAGGGGGGUAGGCCAAUUUAAGUUAAUUUUGGUCCAAUUUGAAGAGAUUGUAACGGACAACGACUAUGUAGGUGUUGUAGAGGAGACAUUGGCGCAUCGUUAAGGAAAAUCUCUAGAGUGGUUUAUGUUCGAAAAUCUGAAGUUACAGUUAAAAACUGAAAUUGUGAAAUUGACAAAAUGAGACUAGGGGGGUAGGGCACUAAAAGAAAAUUUUGGACCAAUUUAAAGAGAUUGUGACGGGCAACGACUAUAUAUGUGUUGUAGAGCAGACAGUAGCGCAUCGUUUAGGAAAAUCUCCAGAGUGGUUCAUGUUCGAAAAUCUGAAGUUACGGUUAAAAAACUGAAAUUGUGAAGUUGACUAAAUGAGAUUAGGGGGUAGGACACUAAAAGUAAAUUUUGGAUCCUUUUAAAGAGAUGGUGACGGACAACGACUAUAUAGGUGUUGUAGAGGAGACAUUGGCGCAUCGUUUAAGAAAAUCUGCAGAUUGGUUUAUUUUCGAAAAUCUGAAAAUACGGUUAAAAAACUGAAAUUGUGAAAUUGACAAAAUGAGAUUAGGGGGUAGAGCAAUUUUAAAUAAUUUUGGACCAAUUUAAAGGGAUUGUGACGGACAACGACUAUAUAGGUGUUGUAGAGGAGACAUUGGCGCAUCGUUUCAGAAAAUCUCCAGAGUGAUUUAUGUUCGAAAAUCUGAAGUUACGGUUAAAAAACUGAAAUUGUGAAAUUGACAAAUUGAGACUAGGGGGGUAGGGCACUAAAAGUAAAUUUUGAAGAGAUUGUGACGGGCAACGACUAUAUAGGUGUUGUAGAAGAUAUAUUAGCGCAUCGUUUAGGAAAAUUUCCAGAGUGGUUUAUGUUCGAAAAUCUGAAGUUACGGUUAAAAUUGAAAUUGUGAAAUUGACAAAAUGAGAUUAGGGGGGUAGGUCAAUUUAAGUUAAUUUUAGACCAAUUUCAAGAGAUUGUGAAGAGCAACGACAAUAUAGGUGUUGUAGAGGAGACAUUGGCGCAUCGUUUAGGAAAAUCUCCAGAUUGGUUUAUGUUCGAAAAUCUGAAGUUACGGUUAAACAAGAGUGCACACACUGAAAUGUCUCGCCUUCUUUACUAAUCAUUGAUAUUAUGUUGAUAGUCCUAAAUAUAAAGCUUUAUUACAACUGCCACAUAAACUUAACAUUAACCAAGUAAACUAAACAUUGACCAAUGAACCAUGAAAAUGAGGUCAAGGUCAGAUAAACCAUGCAAGGCAGGCAUGUACAGCUAACAAAUCUUCCAUACAACAAAUAUAGUUGACCUAUUGCGAAUAGUUUAAGAAAAACAGACCAAAACACAAAAACUUAACACUGAGCAAUGAACCUUGAAAAUGAGGUCAAGGUCAAAUAAAACCUGCGUGACUGACAUAUAGAUCAUAAAAUAUUUCCAUACACCAAAUAUAGUUGAACUAUUGCAUAUAUGGUAUUAGAAAAAAAGACCAAAACUCAAAAACUUAACUUUGACCACUGAACCAUGAAAAUGAGGUCAAGGUCAGAUGACACCUGCCAGCUAGACAUGUACACCUUACAAUCAUUCCAUACACCAAAUAAAGUAGACCUAUUGCAUACAGUAUAAGAAAAACAGACCAAAACACAAAAACUUAACUAUAACCACUGAACCAUGAAACUGAGGUCAAGGUAAGAUGACACCUGCCAGCUAGACAUGUACACCUUACAAUCAUUCCAUACACCAAAUAUAGCUGACCUAUUGCAUGCAGUAUUAGAAAAAAAGACCAAAACUCAAAAACUUAACUUUGACCACUGAAUCAUGAAAAUGAGGUCAAGGUCAGAUGACACCUGCCAGCUAGACAUGUACACCUUACAAUCAUUCCAUACACCAAAUAUAGUAGACCUAUUGCAUACAGUAUAAGAAAAACAGACCAAAACACAAAAACUUAACUAGAACCACUGAACCAUGAAAAUGAGGUCAAGGUCAGAUGACACCUGCCAGUUGGACAUGUACACCUUACAGUCCUUCCAUACACCGAAUAUACUAGACCUUUUGCUUAUAGUAUCUGAGAUAUGGACUUGACCACGAAAACUUAACCUUGUUCACUGAUCCAUGAAAUGAGGUCGAGGUCAAGUGAAAACUGUCUGACGGGCAUGAGGACCUUGCAAGGUACGCACAUACCAAAUAUAGUUAUCCUAUUACUUAUAAUAAGAGAGAAUUUAACAUUACAAAAAAUCUGAACUUUUUUUUCAAGUAGUCACUGAACCAUGAAAAUGAGGUCAAGGACAUUGGACAUGUGACUGACUGAAACUUCGUAACAUGAGGCAUCCAGGUCUUCCAUCUUCUAAAAUAUAAAGCUUUUAAGAAGUUAGCUAACGCCGCCGCCGCCGCCGCCGGAUCGCUAUCCCUAUGUCGAGCUUUCUGCGACAAAAGUCGCAGGCUCGACAAAAACUCUAAAUACAUGGUUAGAUUCAGCAUUUCAAAAAACCCAUAAAUUCAAUUUUUGUUGAAAUCAAACAAAGUUUAAUUUUGGA